UGUAGGGCCGUAUUCAUGCGGGGAGUAUUCGUGCAGCAUCCGGCUGCAGACAUACCCUUCUCGAGAAAUCCCCGCCUUGCGAGUAGCUGUCCAAUCACUGGCCUCCCACAUCCCCCACCCGCCUGUGUGUGAAAUCUGAGCUGCAGAGGAGCAGGAGGCAGAGCCCACAGACAGAACAAAAAUCAACCGUUUCAGAAAGCCAUGGCGAGUGGAGGAGUGGAGAAGAACAAGAGGGAAAAGUUUGUCGAGGGACCAGCCUCACUCAAGUCUGCAGUUUGGGAACACUUUGGCUUCCCUGUUGACUAUGGUGAUGGGGGAGAGAAAAAAGUGGACCGAACGAAGACCAUUUGUAAGCGCUGCUAACACGGGUAGCAUACGCACAUGGAAACACUUCCAAUAUGACCACACAUUUACAGCGUCACCACCCAGACGCAGCCCUCGUUUGGAGCCGGCCAUCCAUGCAGGAUCCACAUUUCCGCCACCUCUGACCCUGCUGUCCUCACCAACUGCAACCCACACUGGACCUAUAAAGACUGGUGGGAGGGUGUUUGUGCUGACCACAAGCGCUGGCCAGCUUCCAUGAAAAGACGACAGGCGACCUCCUUCAAUAAACACCGUGGCAAAAAGGACAUGCUGAAGCUGGUGGACCAGGAGUAUGGUGCUCUAGUUCACAACAGCUGUAAAGACCCGAACAGCACGCUCCAUCCCCACCACUAAGCUGCACAUAACACAAUAUAUUAAACACCUGAGCAGCUGCAGAACACCAGCUCCUCUUUGAACACCAGCCCAGAGAAGGUGGAAGAAAGGCCAGCAGCUUUGGCAAUCUCUGACAGAGGCAGUGAGACGACCAGCGUGCCAGUCGUUGCCAUGCCGGUUGCUGUUUUUAACCCCCCUACACCUGUUCAGGACACCCUAACGCAGGACUCAAUAGAGGAAAAUCGUUAAAAGUAUCUUGACCAAGCAGCAGCAGCAACCACCACAGCAACAGCCGGGGAAAGAACCCAGAUGAAGAAGUGCCUGUCCUGUGGCCAGCCUAAGUCCAGAUAUGAAAAUGACGGUUCUUCCGUCCAUUUCUUCUAUCAACAGGGCCCGGUCAGGUACUUCUACUGUUCAACUAAGGUUUUUAAAACAUAUGGUGCUGAAGGUCUGACGGAUGCAAAUGGACUUCGAAGACUUUGCACAGACAGAAUUCUUUCAGCAUGAACUGGAGGCAACAAAACAAAGGGUGGAGGAGAGAGUACAGCAAAAAGAAAAAGGACUGACUCCCAGCCGACAGGGACACGCAAAUGCCGGUUCUGCAGACUGGAGCUAAAGCAGGGCCUGGACAGUCCUCACAUCCACACUGGCUUCCCUGGAGUAGCAGGGAAGUACAUCUACUGCCCAGCAAAAGUCUUUUCUUUCUAUAAAGAUAAGGGUAUGGACAAGGAGAUGACCUGGAGAGAGUUCCAGGAGUCUCCUUUCUUUGAAGUGGAAAGGCAGAGGUGGGAGGCUGAAAAACGAAAAUGAGUGAGAGGGUGGGCUGGUGGCUUAGCAUGUGUGUCUGUAUAUAUGUAUAUGUAAUUUUUGCUCUUUGUUCAAUUUGAUUUGUUUGUGAAACAGUUGAACUGUUGUUCUGUGUGAAUAAAGAACACAUUUCAUUCAGUUA